rnacentral:rRNA from 1 species
AGAGAUGUGUGAUGACGCAUAUCAAUAAGCGGAGGAAAAGAAACUAACAAGGAUUCCCUUAGUAACGGCGAGUGAAGCGGGAAGAGCUCAAAUUUGAAAUCUUCAAGGUUCUACCUUGACGAAUUGUAGUUUAUAGAAGUGUUUUCUGUUAGUAGAGUGGCAAAAGUUCUUUGGAAUAGGACAUCAUAGAGGGUGAGAAUCCCGUAUUUGGUCAUUCUUUCUAGCUUUGUGAUACACUUUCAACGAGUCGGAUUGUUUGGGAAUGCAGUCCAAAAUGGGUGGUAAAUUUCAUCUAAAGCUAAAUAUUGGCGAGAGACCGAUAGCGAACAAGUACCGUGAGGGAAAGAUGAAAAGAACUUUGAAAAGAGAGUUAAACAGUACGUGAAAUUGUCAAAAGGGAAGCGUUUGACACCAGUGUUGUUUUUCCGAAAAUCAAUUACGAAUGUUUUAGUUUUUGAGGAGUUAUGACUUCAUCGGCUCGCUUCUCUUCUUUAUGAAACUUUCUUAAUGCACUUUUCGGUUAACAAGUCAACAUCAAUUUCUUUUGUUGUAAAAGGGUAUGAGGAAGGUGGCUUUCUUUUCGGAGAAAGUGUUUAUAGCCUUGUACCUCUGCAAUCGGAGAGAUUGAGGUCUGCAGCGUAGAUCCUUCGGGGUUAGAUACGUUUGUGCUAAGUUAUAGCUUUUCAUAGACAACUUGUUGACUAUGUUUAGUCUUGUAGCUUACUCGCUGACGCUAUUUUACCUACGCUUAGGAUGUUGAUAGUCACAGCGUGUAC